CGGACGGGUGAGUAAUGCCUAGGAAUCUGCCUGGUAGUGGGGGACAACGUUUCGAAAGGAACGCUAAUACCGCAUACGUCCUACGGGAGAAAGCAGGGGACCUUCGGGCCUUGCGCUAUCAGAUGAGCCUAGGUCGGAUUAGCUAGUUGGUGAGGUAAUGGCUCACCAAGGCGACUAUCCGUAACUGGUCUGAGAGGAUGAUCAGUCACACUGGAACUGAGACACGGUCCAGACUCCUACGGGAGGCAGCAGCC
rnacentral:rRNA from 1 species